UUCAGGCAUACUUCAAUGGCACAACAUGCAAAGCUCAAGGGCAGGUCGGAUGAAACGGCACUCCAAGAAAUGUUGCGAGAAGAAGACGUCUCUUCAAUUUAAAGGAGCACGCGAUGGCGACCUUCCUGUAAAUUAAAAGGGCAUUUACCAACGAGGAGAUGGGUCGACUGUCAUCACUCUAAACCGCACGCGGGUCCACCCGAAUUUCUGUAUGCUAUGUGACAGGAAUAUCAACGUGGACUUCGAAUAUAAUUAGAUUAGAAGGCGGGUGAUAAGGAGAACGUUCUGUGAUGGGUAUUCUCGCCAAUUCUCUGCUAGUGGUAAACGAAUUCCUAUUGGAUCUCAACAGGAAUGGCGGUAGAAUGAUCGCAAUGCUAGAUAUGCAAAAUAUCAAGGUUCGCUUCUGGACACUAUGGUGGUAUGCGGUGGGCACACUGAGUAGGGUUUCAGACUACUUGGUACCGAGACCGAUUCGAAUGUUGGAAUAGAAUGAAACCUCCGUCUUUAUAGAUGAUUCCAAGAUGGAGACAGGGACUGGAUUGGAGCUAUUCGUAUGUUCUUUAAAGACAGUGACGGACGUCGAAGUGUAUGGCGGACCGUGUGGAAUCCAUGAAUAGACUCUCCACAUACAUGGAUUAGCGGAUAUGAUGGCGCCGUAUUGGCUCUCUUUUUGUAAUCACUUCUUAUGUCAGACUGGCCAACAAGUGAACUCAUCUUUUCAUGAUGGGCAUAACCUAAAUUGUAACAAAUUGGGCAGAGAAAGCAUAGAAUAGAAAUAUACAUAGAAUAGAAAUAUCAGUUUUAUAAAUAUACAUUUUUGGUUUUGAAA